rnacentral:misc_RNA from 1 species
GAUGAAGAACGCAGCGAAAUGCGAUAAGUAAUGUGAAUUGCAGAUUUCAGUGAAUCAUCGAAUCUUUGAACGCACCUUGCGCCUUGUGGUAUUCCACAAGGCAUGCCCGUUUGAGUAUCAUUAAAUCAUCAACUCUAAAACCUUUGUGGUUUUUUUAGAGCUUGGUCUUGAGGGUUUUGCAGGCUUUUUUUUUUCGAGUCUGCUCCCUUUAAAUGCAUUAGCGAGACUUCCCUAUGCUGAACCGUCUCUUUGACGUGAUAAUUAUCUGCGUCGAAUUUUGGUUCUCGUUGGGCUUGCUUCUAAUCGUCUGUUAAAGACAGAACGGAUUUGGGUGCAUAUAUGCGCCUUUUUCCAAAACCUUUUUUGAUCUCAAAUCGGGUAGGACUACCCGCUGAACUUAAGCAUAUCAAUAAGCGGAGGA